UACGUAGGGGGCAAGCGUUGUCCGGAAUCAUUGGGCGUAAAGCGCGCGUAGGCGGCCCGGUAAGUCCGCUCUGAAAGUCCAGGGCUCAACCCUGGAAAGCGGGUGGAUACUGCCGGGCUAGAAUCCGGAAGAGGCGAGUGGAAUUCCUGGUGUAGCGGUGGAAUGCGUAGAGAUCGGGAAGAACAUCAGUGGCGAAGGCGGUCUGCUGGGCCGUUGCUGACGCUGAGGCGCGACAGCGUGGGGAGCAAACAGG
rnacentral:rRNA from 1 species